rnacentral:rRNA from 1 species
UCUGGGUUGCAUGGCUACCUGCUGCNGCUACACUCAGCCUGANNCGAUCGGGUUGGGUUUAUGGCUCGGUGUGGUGGUUGUGCAGCCUUUCUGCCGUGUCUGUUNACAGGUGCUGGUAGAUCGUUCGCGGUCUGCCGGCAUGCUUCCAGAUGCCUUUAAACGGGUGUCGGGAGCGGACGGCAUGUUUACUUUGAACAAAUUUGAGUGCUCAAAGCAGGCCAAUGUGCCUGAAAAGUCUUGCAUGGGAUAACCGAAUAGGACUUCGGUUCUAUUUUGUUGGUUUUCGGAUCCGAAGUAAU